ensembl:lncRNA
UUUUGCUGUGCCCUGCAGAACUGAUCUGAACACAUGGCAACUUCAGUUUCCCCUGUGGACCUUGCGCUUUGUGAGCUCUUUGGACGAGAGAAACAUCCAGUCAGAAGUGACUUGACAGUUAAAUGCAACAGAGGAGAGAAAAACAGAAUCUCAAGAAGUCUUUUAAGACAGUAAGAGGCCCCAUCUGGAUUUUUCCUCUCUUUUGGAGGAGCUACGACAAUUCAUUAGAGUACAGCGGGACCAGAGGGAACUCUGUCUACAU